UAAAGAGUCGGACCUGCCCGGUGACUAAUAGUUAAACGGCCGCGGUACCCUAACCGUGCAAAGGNAGCAUAAUCAUUUGCCUUUUAAUUGAAGGCUGGUAUGAAUGGUUUGACGAAAGCUAAGCUGUCUCUUCUAGAUUAGAUAGAAUUUAACUUUUAGGUGAAGAGGCCUAAAUUUAUUUGAGGGACAAGAAGACCCUGUUGAGCUUUAGUGUAUUUAUAAGUUUAGAAAGUAAUUGAAAUGUUGCUUUGUAUCUGUGUGCUUUGCACAAUUUUUUUUAUAAAAAAUCUUUAGUUGGGGCGACUGAGGAACAAGAAAAGCUUCCUUAAUAAUAUUUUAGUGACGUAUUUUAGGUUCUGUAUUAUUUUUACUUAAUAUGGUUGAUCCAAAAUUUUUGAUUAAAGGAAAAAGUUACCACAGGGAUAACAGCGUAAUCUUUCUGGAGAGAUCUAAUUGAAAGGAGGGUUUGCGACCUCGAUGUUGGACUAAGAUAUCCGGAGGGUGUAGAAGUUCUCAAGGGUUGGUCUGUUCGACCAUUAAAAUCUU
rnacentral:rRNA from 1 species